AUUGAACGCUGGCGGCAGGCCUAACACAUGCAAGUCGAACGGUAACAGGAAACAGCUUGCUGUUUCGCGGACGAGAGGCGGACGGGUGAGUAAUGUCUGGGAAACUGCCUGAUGGAGGGGGUCAACUACUGGAAACGGUAGCUACAACCGCAUAACGUCGCAAGACGAAAGAGGGGGACCCCCGGGCCUCUCACCUUCGGAUAGGCCGAGUUGGGAUUAGCUUGGUGGUGGGGUAACGGCUCACCAAGGCGACGAUCCGUAGCUGGUCUGAGAGGAUGACCAGCCACACUGGAACUGAGACACGGUCCAGACUCCUACGGGAGGCAGCAGUGGGGAAUAUUGCACAAUGGGCGCAAGCCUGAUGCAGCCAUGCCGCGUGUAUGAAGAAGGCCUUCGGAUUGUAAAGUACUUUCAGCGGGGAGGAAGGGCGUUAAGUUAAUACCUUGCCUCAUUGACGUUACCCGCAGAAGAAGCACCGGCUAACUCCGUG
rnacentral:rRNA from 1 species